GUGGGGAAUAUUGGGCAAUGGGCGAAAGCCUGACCCAGCAACGCCGCGUGAGGGAAGAAGGCCUUCGGGUUGUAAACCUCUGUCUUUGGUGACGAAACAAAUGACGGUAGCCAGAGAGGAAGCCCCGGCUAACUACGUGCCAGCAGCCGCGGUAAUACGUAGGGGGCGAGCGUUGUCCGGAAUUACUGGGCGUAAAGGGUGCGUAGGUGGCCUUUUAAGUUGGAUGUGAAAUCCCCGGGCUUAACUUGGGUGGUGCAUCUAAUACUGGAGGGCUAGAGUGCAGGAGAGGGAAGCGGAAUUCCUAGUGUAGCGGUGAAAUGCGUAGAUAUUAGGAGGAACACCAGUGGCGAAGGCGGCUUUCUGGACUGUAACUGACACUGAGGCACGAAAGCGUGGGGAGCAAACAGGAUUAGAAACCCGUGUAGUCC
rnacentral:rRNA from 1 species